rnacentral:rRNA from 1 species
AUUGAACGCUGGCGGCAGGCCUAACACAUGUAAGUCGAGCGAGCGGCGGACGGGUGAGUAAUGUCUGGGAAACAGCCUGAUAGAGGGGGAUAACUCCUGGAAACGGUAGCUAUUACAGCCUACCCUAAGCUGUGCCCCGAUGUGAUUCUCUAGUAGGUGGGGUAACGUCUCACCUAGGCGACGAUCCCUCGAUGGUCUGAGAGGAUGACCAGCCACACUGGAACUGAGACACGGUCCAGACUCCUACGGGAGGCAGCAUUGGGGAAUAUUGCACAAUGGGCGCAAGCCUGAUGCAGCCAUGCCGCGUGUGUGAAGAAGGCCUUCGGGUUGUAAAGCACUUUCAGCGGGGAGGCGUUACCCGCAGAAGAAGCACCGGCUAACUCCGUGCCAGCAGCCGCGGUAAUUC